rnacentral:rRNA from 1 species
UACGUAGGGGGCAAGCGUUGUCCGGAUUUAUUGGGCGUAAAGAGCGUGUAGGCGGCCAGGCAGGUCCGCUGUGAAAACUCGAGGCUCAACCUCGAGAGGUCGGUGGAAACCGUUUGGCUAGAGUCCGGAAGAGGAGAGUGGAAUUCCCGGUGUAGCGGUGAAAUGCGCAGAUAUCGGGAAGAACACCCGUGGCGAAGGCGGCUCUCUGGGACGGUACUGACGCUGAGACGCGAAAAGCGUGGGGGAGCGAACAGG